rnacentral:rRNA from 1 species
UACGAAGGGGGCUAGCGUUGCUCGGAAUCACUGGGCGUAAAGCGUGCGUAGGCGGUUCGUUAAGUCUGCUGUGAAAGCCCUGGGCUCAACCUGGGAACUGCAGUGGAUACUGGCGAGCUAGAGUGUGAUAGAGGAUGGUGGAAUUCCCGGUGUAGCGGUGAAAUGCGUAGAGAUCGGGAGGAACACCAGUGGCGAAGGCAGUCCCCUGGACCUGUACUGACGCUCAUGCACGAAAGCGUGGGGAGCAAACAGG